GCCUGAGGUGCUAUAGAGGACCUGUCAUGGUAAUAUGUGUCCCUGAAGGAGAACUCUCCUAUGGCCUCACACUGCCCUGUGGAAGCUGGCAGGAGCCUGGCUGAGUCCCACUGGGAGAAAGCUGAGGAACAGCAAGGAAAAGACUCCUGAAGGAUGGGUAAAGUGAAGCUCGUUCAGGGAAAUCCUCACUCCCAGGGAG